UACAUCCAGCAAGCAAUCUCUGGUAAAUCCCACCAUUUUCAGAACACAAGAAAUAGUUUAAUUACUAUCAGGAUGGAGUAUUAUUGAGGAUAUGCAUAUUAAAAACAUGAAAAGAGACAGGUAGAGAUAACGUUUUAAAGAGAUAUAAAGAAAAAUAAAGGUGAUGAAAUUGACAAGUGAAGAGAGGAAAAGGACGAUAGGCCAGUCAUGGACCACUUGGGCUAUAAGCUUUGCAGCCCUCCGGUCCGAUGUGAACAGCCUACACGAGUCAAGUUUUGUUCUGUUCUGGGCUAUCGGUGCACAAAGUAAGUGUGGCUCAAUGAUCCAUUUAUCAGAACCCUUGGAGACUUCAUGGGUCAUUUU
rnacentral:misc_RNA from 1 species